AUUUUUAUUCAGCGAGAAAGUAUUCUUGAUUAACGUUAACGAUUGACUUAUGCAUUCAAAAGUAUAAUUAUUAGAUUCAAAACGAUUUUCUCAACAAAUUAUUGAACAAAAGUAUCUUUCUUCUAUAUCAUUGAAUUUACUUCGAUUCGAUUUUCGUUACCUCGUAGAAAAAGGUUAUGUGAUGUUAUUCAAUCAAAAGAAGAAGUUGCGAAGUGAAGUUUGGAUUGAAAGUUCAUUUAGUACAUCAACAAUUUAAACUUCUAUGUCUUCAAGUUUUUCAAGAACGAAACUUUGUGAAAUCUGAUGAAGUAUAUUCAAAUAAGACAGUUAAAAGGAGAAUAAAUAUUAUUAAAGAUAUCGCUGAAAGAAACGCAAUAGUUUGUAGUAUUUAAUAAUUUCUAUUAGUAAUUGUAAAGCCAUGAAUAAUAUUUUACAUAGGAUAACUAUUAGGAUAGUGAAAAAAAUGGAAAAAGAACUUAGACGAAGAAAUAAGGAGAUGUUUGAGACAAUUUUUUGAUGAGGUUUGACAAAUCCAGAUCUAUUGAAGAAAUGUCUCACGAAGAAAACACAAUAUAAAUGAAUCAUUAUGUGAUCAAGAGUACCAAGAAAUGUAUUUGUGUUAUUUCAUACUUUGUAGCUUCAUUUAUAUGAUACUGUCAUCAUAUUUAAAGAGGAUUAUGUAGGCAGAUUGAAGGAGGUAGGAGGUAAAACCUCCAUAUUGGAAGAACAAUAAGAUGCAAGUUGAUGAUGAAAAACUAUAAGCUUAUAUAUUUUCUUAAAAGACAAGAUCUGUGAAAAGAUGAAAGAAAAUAUAUUUGUAUAAUAGAGAACAAGAUGAACAUCAUAAUGAUUGAUGAUUUUAAUUAUUGUUUUCACUAAAAAAUUGAUUUGGAAAAAAGAUACACUAUGGAAGUAUCAUUAAAAGAGAGUGAACAAAAAGUGUCGUUUAAGAAUGUCAACAAUCUCACAUCCAUUUGGCAGUUUUAUUAUGCUCAAAAUAUAUUCAUGUACUUUGAUAUACGAACGAACAGAAUUUAUAGGAAAAUUAUUGAUGGAGAAAUUGAUAUGAACAUGUCCCAGUAUCAAUCGCAUUAAUCUCUUGAUACGUUCAAAAGGAGGAAGAACGCUUCAAUCAAAGGAGCUCAUGAAAGAUUCAUUAUUUUCUAUGCAUAAAAAGAAGGAAUCAAGAUUUCAAUAUCGUAUAGUCAUGAUCUAAGACAAUUGUAGUCUACCAAAAGCUUGGUAUUUGGAUGGACCGAUAAGACAACACUUAUACAAAAUACUCUCUACUGUUUUUCAUGUCACAGCUUCCGUGAGAUUUAACCCUUUGAGUGCUGAAUACUCGUGGCCUAUGUAAUCCGUACGGACGGCGCGCAGCUGGCACUGACGAUCGCCGGGAACUGAAUACUUUUUCGCGCAAUAGAAACAAUUGCCGAACAUAUACAUUUGAUCAUAAUACACUGAUCAUUUUUGCCAGGCGCGUAUUUGCGUUCAUAAUCCAUACUGAUAGCAUCUGUCGAGCGCGUAUUUGCAUUCAUAGUCUAUAUCGAUAGCUUUCGCUGGACGCAUAUAUGCGUCCAUACUACUCAAAGGUUAUAAUGAUAUUUUAAAGUCAUGAUCGUGAUCGGAAAAAAAAUCAAAAUUUAUUUUUAUCUGAACGAUUCUUGGGAGAGAAUAUACUUAUUUGGUUUUAUGCGACAAGGUGUAUUUGAAUGAUAAGAGUAUAUCAUUUGAUAUUAUCAAAAUUGAAAUGAACCAUUUUUGGAUUCAAUCAAGUACGAAGUACGCUUUUUAUAAGUAGAUACUGAGUUUCGUUGAACUAGUUUAGAAUUGUUCAUAGUAUAAUCGUAAAUUUCACAGAAUGAAUUAGAAACAUUGAUUGCAAUUUAUUAUAGUUCACUAUUGGAAUAGUAAAUAUAUUAUUACAGUUUAAAAUUGCAAAUUUAUUACCACAAAUAUUUACAUAUAUAUUAUUUUAAUUAUUUAAAUGUUUAUAAAUUUGUUAAUUAUUUAUAUAUUAUUAAUAUAGAAUUUAUUUUUUAAAAUAGUAAAAUUUCUAUCAUACAUGUCAAUAUAUUAAUCCAAAAAUUAUAUAUUGUAUUCAAAGAUGAAUUUUAGUUACUAUUGAAAGCGCACAUGUAAGAGCGAUUAAAGAAGAAAUUAAACAAAAAGAAAAAGAAAAAUAAGUCAUGAA